rnacentral:tRNA from 1 species
GGGCCCGUAGCUCAGCCUGGUUAGAGCGCCGGUCUUAUAAGCCGGAAAGAUAGUAAAUCUUGGCUUGAGGUCAGGGGUUCAAAUCCCUCCGGGCCCA